GUAAGUGGCCUACGUGCAGGAUUGGCACGUCCUGUUCCUUUUUCUUCGGACCAUGCCGUUGCAUGAUGUGAGCCAAAUUCACAUCAAAAACCAUCUUUUGCGAGCUAAAAUCUGAAGGCCCAUAUCUGAACAGCCCACCAACUGAAGUGAAGUGCUGUAUAGCUGCUUUUGGAGUCAUUUAAGGGAAAGAUUUGAAGACGUCGGGGGUUUUUAUAUUCCAUUGAAAUAUUGUAUCUCAACUGGAUCAUCAAUAAAUCAACCAAUCAACUAAUGACAGAAACCGAUGAUGAUUGUCCACGCUUGGUGAUUGCCUCCCAUCCUCCUUAACUGGUGGACGAGUCUCCCCCCUCUGAAUAAGACAGCAGGGCCGACCACUACAUUAAUAA